AUCCAGCCUAGGCCCGUACUGCAGCACAGCAUGGUGGAUGGGAGAUAGACUCGUCUGCAGUCCACCCGGGCUUAGACUGGCUGUCUGGCUUGGGCAAAUGACUUCAUCUUUCUAUGUCUAUUUCCUCUUCUUCAUCUGGCACUGUGAGGACAGAACAAGACGAGCCGGAUAAUCCUACAAAAUCCAGCAAGCCGCACAGAAGGAACUGAAGAAGCAGGAAAAGCAGGAAUGCGGAAGGGCAAGAAUCCAGCCAGACCCGCUGAGGAACACGAAGCGCCACUGGAGGCCACUCGGCUGUGACGCAAGUGGACUGGCCUGCGGCUUCGUCUGCCCGACCCCGCCUCGAGUUGGUGACCUAUUCCUCUUUUUCUCACUCCAACCAAAAUGUUUAAUGAUGAUUUUAUUGGGGUACAAUCAACAUCUGAAAAGCCGACCACGUUUAAUGGAUGCCUCUCAACUAGCUUGGGGAUGAUUAUACACCUGUGAGCUAAAUUGUCACCCCCAAGGCCAGAGAUCAUCUAAUCUACCAUCCCCUUUCAGCCUGCUCCUGCCCCUUCAUUGUUAUUGUUAUCGUUAGCAUCAUCAUUGGGGGAAGAAUAAAACCUACUCUCAGGACAA